GAUCCUUUACUUGGAGCUAUCAGUCCCUAAAGUUUGUGAUGAGUUAUGGAAAUAGAAUAUCAGUAAAGUUUGAAUUCAGAAAAAUAUAAUCAUUAGGUACGAUCAAAAGAGACAAAAUGAAAAAUAUUGAAAAAUCAUCGUUGAAAACGCGCUGUUUGAAGAUACACAAUGGAUUAAAAGUUUUUAAGCUUGCUGCAAUUGUACAAUCUGAGAAUAAAAGAAAAUUAGUCUAAAAGGUUUGCGAAAAAGGGUGAUUGAUAUACAGAAGAAAAAAAAAAAAAACAAGAAAAAAAAAAGAGGAAAGAAAAAUCAAGAAACUUUUGGCGCACCCUAUAUAACGUGUUCCCUUUUGACCGAGCACUAUCGAUCGAUUGGUCGUACUUUUAGAUACGAUAACGAGAUAAUCACGUCGAGGUAGAAACGAAGAAAAAAAAAAGAACAAGGAUAAAAAAAAGAGAAAAAAAAAAAGAAAGAAGAAGAAGAAAAAAAAUCUGUCUCCGUUCGUUUCCAUCGUCUCGUUCUUUGGGUAGAUUUCUUUAUCGGAGAAAAUUACGAGAAUGAAUAUUAAUGACCCAUGGGCAGCAUCGUCCUUAGCUCGAUAACGAGGCUGGCUCGCUCUAAUAAACGAGAUUUCCCGGAUGGAGAACGUCGUGUUCGUCGCUCGAGUAUUAGUCGCUCGUCCACCGAUAUAAAGCCGAUAAUUAAAUAUCGCUAAUUAAAUUUGUAAAUUUGAAUAUCGGUAAUUAAUAACCAAGCGUCGGGAAGGAAUCGCCCGUUUGGUACCAUCAAACGUGACCUAAAACGAACAAAGUUAUCUCAUUCAACAUUUAUGAUAAUCGUUAGAAUUAAAUAGAGUAAGAUUUGAUUUCCCCAUUUCUUGAUCGCAAAUCUAUGUAUGUGUAUACUUAUUCAAAGUAAAUGUACAUACAUAGCUGUUAUAUUAAUCAAUCGAUUUUCAAAGAAUACAAAUGACACACGCUUAUGCGUUUUAAAGAUCAACACUGUCCAUGGAUUACAUGGAAAAGUUUAAGUGCUUUGAUUAGCUGAUAAUUGCAAGGAUCUUGUUUAAUAGAAAGAGAGAGAAAGAAAGAGAGAGAGAGAGAGAGUUUACUUCGAGUAAGAUUUAAUGGCGGCCAAACGAUGAGAAUUAUCGCCCUUCGAGUCGUGGAAUGGUAACAGAUGCCGUCUCAGCGAGCACCACUCGCGUUAAACUUUCGAGAAAUCUAUCGCUCAAGGAAGGUGUAACGUGGCUUAGAUUAACGCCCUUACCAUUUCUCGCUCGCCCGUUUCACGCGAUUGCUGCUCCUUCUCAGCUUAGAAUUAACUGUCCUUGCGUGAGAACCACGAAAAUUCGAGAGGCGGACACACUGUGUUGAAGGUAUUGAAAAAACAAACAAAAAGAAAAAGAAAAUAUUUUCUAUUUCGGAAUUACAAUUAAGCAAUUUUUUUGUACUUGUAAAAAAACAAUUUCCAGUUGCAAUAAUUAAUGGAAUUCAUUUUAACAAUGAGUAAUUCUAGAAAUAGAUGGUAACGUUUAAAAAUUCUUUCGAUGAAGUUAUUGUCAUUAUAUAGUUUUUUUUUUUCUUUUCUUUUUUAUUUUUUUUUUUUUUUUAUAGUGAUUAAUAAUAUCACGAAUCGUUUGAAAUAUUUAAAAGUCGUUUAUCAGCGUGUUCCUUUAUUUUUCUACUGUUAUACAGUUCUCGAGAAUCGAUGACAAGAAUUUCUUCGACUUUAUAAAACGUUUUUGUGUUUUUAUCGAACAAUAGCAAGUCGAAUUCGUUUUAGGAAAAGACGCAUCACCUCGCUCGAUUGGCUUUCUCGCGUGCCUGGAUAUCUUCGAUAGCUCUGAUCUUUCUCUCUCAUUCUCUCAUUCUCUGACUCUCUCUUUCUCUUCGUUCAGCCGACUUGUCUUUGCGACACACCGUCGUUAACGUCAUCGACGAUUGGGGCCGCGACAGGCGAUAACGUCGAAAUCGGAGUUAUCUUUCGCACUCCGGCACUCCGUGGAAAACCCUCGUCAAGAUCAACGAGACGUUCCCGAAUUCUCGUGAGACAUUUUCUAGCACCACCACCAGUCCCUUCGGUCCUUUCGUUCACCAACGUCAAACCAUAUUCCCUAUGUCCAACUCAUCUUCGUGCGAAUACGUAAGAUUGGGAAAAAGAAAAGGAAAGAAAGGGGGAAAAAAAUAGAAUUAGAAAAAAAAACCCUGACAAAUUUUUCUUUAUCAAAACAUAAUCAUAUCACAAUCCCAUACGACUUGAUUAGUAGAUCAAUCAGUUUGGUUAAACAUUUCUUUUUCUUUUUCUUUUUAUUUUCUUUUUUUUUUUUUGUGUGAUUAUUAGAUAUAAAUCCAUUGAAAAAUUUUAGACAUACAACUAUCAGCUGAGAAAUAAAACGAAGAACGGGAUGUUCAUAUAAUUUAUAGACCGAUAAAUUUACGUCGAAAAAUUCGAUAUACGAUAUAAGGAAGGGCAGAGUAGUAGAUGACGAGGCAUCAAAGCAAAAUACUAUAAUAAAUAGUAAAUCACGGCCGAGCGGUUGGUUUUCUCUUGCAAAAGACGUGAUAAUCCAUGCUCCAGCGGUUCGAUCCAAAGGCGUCAGUCGAAUGAACGAUCGUUCGGGAUUAUCGUAGAGACGGGACGCCGUUCCAUCUUGGCUUAGAUAAAUCGGUAUGAGUCACGAAAAGGGACUAUCCAAGUUUUGGUCCCUCAAGCAGAGCAGUAGCUAGAAAGUGAGAGAACCUGUAGGAGGACUUUUCAUCCCGAAAAAGCAGGAAGGACAUGAUCGCGUGAUCCUUUUCUAAAACGAAUGAUCGAUUAUUCCGAUCGAAGGUGCGUUGCCACGCGAUAUCGGUCAAACGAUUAAUCAACUUCGAUUCGCACUCGUACGAACAGCUGGAAUUUGCAAUUAGUUACCGCAGUGCUUUCCCCGGUGCUUGCAUUCUUCUCAUUCGCGAAUCUCCCAUUAAUGAAUUUCUCCAGGUUGAAACUUCUCAAUCGAUAAAAUAAAAUCGAUUCUAACAUAUAUGUAUACGUGUAUUAUAUGCAUAUAUAUAUAUAUAUUUUACAUACAUUUUCUACUUAGUAUCUUUAGAUGAAAAUAACACUAACGAUCUCUCAAAUAAAAUAUCCAUAUAUAUAUAUAUAUAUAUAUAUAUAUAUAUAUAUAUAUAUAUGUAUUUCGAAAAUAGAAUUUCAAUUAACUUUCGACCGAACGACCCCGUGGAAAGUGGGACAAUGCUCGGAGACAGAAGCUAUCGAUUAAGUAUGGACCGCGUAGGAAUGGCUUAUGUAUACAUAUAUACAUAUAUACGUACGUAUAGCUAUCGGUUUCGUGUUUGUUAAAUAAACUGGAACGAAGCUGGAAAACUGAUGGGAAAAUGAUUUCUUUGAUUUGAAACUAUCUUUCCAUCUUUCUCUCUCUCUCUCUUUCUCUCUUACCCUCUCUCCCUUUCUAUCUCUUUCUCUUUCUCUCUCUCUCUCUCUUUUCCAUCAUAAAAUUCUAAAACUGAAAUAACAGGGUUAAAUCUUUUAUUUCUAUUCCAUUUCGUCUAAGUGACAAAACUCGAUUCGAAUUUAUGUCACCAUAAAUGAUAGAGUGACGUUGAUUUCAUGUGAAAAUACUCAAUGUUGAAAGUAAAAAGAAAAAGAAAAAAAAAAUAUGAAAAGAGAGUAAGAGAGAGGGAGGGAGGGAAGGAAAGAGAGAAAAAAUAAAAGAGAGCAAUUCGAUGAGGCAAAAUUUAAGCGUACUUCCUUCGAGGAAAUCGGAUAAGAAUCUGGAACAUAAGCGUGACUGCCUUGCAAACGUCUCUCCGCCUAUUGCGUGUCGCCGUUACAUGGGUGCCGAGGGGUGAAUCGACGAACGGAAAAGCCACGUUACGUGAGCAUGUUCUAAGGAACAGAACGCGUGCGGCUCUAACAUCACGAAAUUACGCGUACGACGAGCUUCGUGUGAUAAAAAGUUCGCGCAAGUUUUACUCUCGUACGAAAACGUUGAAAACUAAUUAAUCGUUAAAAAUGUAUUUAUGUAUUAUCGGCAAGUUGAAAAAUAAUAAUUUAUAAUGGAUCCUUGAAAUAAUUUCUAGAAAAUUCUAUCCCCUUGAAAGUUUAACUUUAAGGACAAUCUUCUUUUCUUUUUUCCUCCAUAUAAAUUUUAUCCAAUCUAAAUGGGAUCUAUUUUUAGAGUAAGAUUUGAUAGUAAAUUUUUACAGGAUCUUUUUUUUUUGAAAUUAGUAUCGCGAACGAUAUACCAUGCAGGAUUUACUUCACUAACUCUCCUCCUCCCUCCCUCCCCCCACCUCCCGGACGAAAAAAUCGAAUUAGAAUAAUUUGUUAAGAGGAAAAACUUGGUCCGAUGGAAUUGAAACGUCUGACUCAUCGGCUGGAAGUUUAGUGCGAUCAACGGAGUCGAAGGGUCUGAGAUUAUUAAGAGACACCCUCACCUCCCCCCCCUCUCUCUCUCUCUCUUUAUCUAUUCCUCUUGCCCCCUUAGAGAAGAGUCUCGGAUUCCAGUGGAUUCUCUCCGUGGACCGUCGCUCUUGGCGCCGAGAGUCAUUUGUCAAGAGACGUUGGUGACGAUGGGAAGCCACCCUCUUCAAAAGCAGUCCUACCAACCUUAUUCUUGUCCCUUGUCCUUACGACAAGGCAAUUUAUAAUUCAUCUCUUUGGUGUUUUAUUUCAUUCGUGGAACUCGAUCUUCAAUUCUUUCCUCUUUGAAGGAUCGUCUUUGAAGAUUAUCAGUGUUAGAGAGAGAGAAAGAGACAGAGAGAGAGAGAAAAUGUGCCUUCGAGCUAGCCAAAAUCUCCUUAAUAAUUUCGUCUCAGAGCAUGUAGCCCUUUUGAACCUUACAGAAAGUCACUUCGACUUUCUAGCUUAUAGCGAGUAAAGUCUUUGCGAACGGAAUAUGAAGAUAGAUAGAGUGAGAGCGUGAGAAAGAGAGAUUGUGUGUACAUGUGUGAAGUGAGAGAGAGAGAGAGAGCAAGAAUAAGAAAAAGAAAGGGCAUGGGAGAGGUGGUCGAAGCUUUGAUUACUUUAAAACUUGACAAAGUCCAGAAAAAAAAAUCGUUAUUCGAAAGACGAAAUGCCAACUUUGAUGACGAUUAUUCUUUACUUCGUCGCGAAGGAAAGAGGCAGGCUGAGUGGACGUUAAAUAUUAAAAUUGCAUCGUACGUCUUUGAGAAGAUGAGAAAGAUGAAUAUAAAAAAGAAAGAAAAAUGGAAAAAGGAAAGGAAAAUGAAAAAAAGGAGGAAAAGAGAAAGGGAAAAAGGGAAGAGGAAGGAGAAGAUUCAGCAGACAUGUACGUGCAUUUACUUCUUUCCAAGAGCAGAAAAGAAUAAGAGAGAGAGAAAGAGAGAGACCAUCGUGAGAACAAUGUGGAAGAUGGAAGCUCGAGACGAGUUCUUAACGAAAUAACGUCGGAAAUUGAAAAGUGCCGAGGAGAAUUUCUCUCGUGAGUAUCGGUUCUUCCUGCACGUAGGUAUGUACCUACGACUUUUCGAUGGCAAAGAGAAAAUAAAAAGAAAGAGAGAGAGAGAGAGAGAGAGAGAGAGAGAGAGAGAGAGAGAGAGAGAGAGAGAACUACGAAGAUCAAAGUUCGUAUUUUGUAGCUUAUGUUGGAAUAUCUCUGAUAAGGAAAUAACAUCUUAAAGCGUCGAUUUAUUUCGAAACUCGUCGUAUGCUGGAAAAGAUAUCAUGUUUGGUAUGAAAGCAUCUACAGAAAAUACGACUAUGAUUCUUCAGGGGGAAAAAAAAGGAAAGAAAAAAAAAAAAAAGAAACAGGACAAGAAAAACUCUUUUGAGUUUCAUGAUUUUUAUUUGUAAAAAUUUUCAAGAAAGAAAGAAAGAAAAAAGAAAAGUUUAUAGUUAAAUUUUAGAAAGUUAUAUAAGACAGAAAAAUGUAUUAUUUCUUUUCUUUUUUUUUUUUUUCUCUUGGCAUUAUGGUAUUAACGAUGUCUCUAGUUAAAAGUUGACAUCCCCGUAGACGUCCAGGACGUUUGUCUUCGAAGGACACUCUCAAACCGGACGUUGCAGUGGCUUUCCUGUCCCAGUGGAUGCGUUCGGAGGACUUCGUUAUCCUUUCCUUACCCAGAAAGCCAUCGUACCGUAAUACGAAAACGGACGGACACUGCGAAAAGAGUGUAGAUAGAAAGAAGAUAGGAUAAAAAAAAACUAAAGAAAAAUAGUAAAACUAAAAGGAAAAAAAAAAGAAAAAAAAGAAACUAUAAAGAUAAUAAAAAAAAGGAAGAAAAAGAAGAAGAAAAAAGAUACGAGAAAAUACGGAAAGAUAGGAAGGAAGGAAGGAAGGAAGGAAGGAAGGAAGGAAGGAAGAAAGAAAAGAAAGAAAAGGAGGGACGAGCGCGUCCUCAAAACCACGUAAUUUGCCCUGCCAACCAGGAAUUUCUCGCGAAACUUUCGACUCUGUUUCCUCUACUUCUACUUUUCUCCACAAAAUAUUCUUCAAAACGCGAUGGCAAAGGAGAAAAUCGACUUUAUAACAGGGAGCCAACACGAAGCACCUUUCAUUUCCUGUCUUUCCACACGGACGAAUUGUCUUACAGAUGGACGUCAUCAUUUCAACCCUGGCUUUAAGCUCGUGCGAUCUAAAAUGAUUUCUUCUAUAAAUUCGAACGUAAUCAUUCAGAACGGAACAGAAAGAGGAUACUUAUCUCAAAAAGGAGCAUCUGAAAUAUUCGCGCAUUGAAGGAAAACUUGGAUGUGUACAGACGUCCACGUGCAGUAUACUCGGCUGCUUUUCUUGCUGCCUCUCGAACAUCUCUUCUUGAAGUUUUUACGGCCAAUGCUCUUGGAAAGGACACUAUAUUCAUGAGACUUCGUCCAACUCACUCGGGAAUCGUUUCGUUGGAUAUCUGAAGAUGAAUAAAUAGAUAAUUAAAAGACAGAAAAAAGACUGCAUCCUCUCGAAAUUAUACUAAAAAUUAAUUCGAAUAAAAAUUCAAGCAAAAUCAUAUUUAAAAUCUCGAUGUUCCUUCGAAAAGCAAUUAUAUCGAUAGGUCGUCGGUUAUGAACAUUGUUCUUCUAAUAGUAAAGAAUACUGCUACUGCAUUACUUUUACAGAAACGAAAAAUAAAUAUAUAUAAAUAAUGAA